rnacentral:rRNA from 1 species
AGCGAACGCUGGCGGCAGGCCUCAAACAUGCAAGUCUAGGGGACGUAGCAAUACGUCACCGGCGGACGGGUGCGUAACACGUGGGAACGUACCCUUUGGUUCGGAACAACGCAGGGAAACUUGCGCUAAUACCGGAUGUGCCCGAAAGGGGAAAGAUUUAUCGCCAAAGGAUCGGCCCGCGUUCGAUUAGCUUGUUGGUGAGGUAAAGGCUCACCAAGGCGACGAUCGAUAGCUGGUCUGAGAGGACGAUCAGCCACACUGGGACUGAGACACGGCCCAGACUCCUACGGGAGGCAGCAGUUGGGAAUCUUGGACAAUGGAGGAAACUCUGAUCCAGCCAUGCCGCGUGAGUGAUGAAGGCCUUCGGGUUGUAAAACUCUUUCGACGGGGACGAUAAUGACGGUACCCGUAGAAGAAGCUCCGGCUAACUUCGUGCCAGCCGCCGCGGUAAGAC